rnacentral:lncRNA from 1 species
AGAAAGCUGGGUAGGAUGUGAGGCUGUGAGAAUGGAAACAUAGGAAGGGAAGAGGGAAGCCGCCAUCUUAGGUAGCUAGUGUUUAUAAAAUGGCCGCUUCUGAGAGAUGUGGGCUGAGUGCCAGCCAGGGUGGUGGGCACGAAGGAGAAUGACAACAGAAGGAAGGGUUUCCCAGCUGACCAAGAACAAACCUGAAUAUCACUAUUAUGGGAUUAGAAAGUGAGGUGGACGCGGGAGGCAGGGGAGAAGAGGGGUCUCCCAGAAGAGUUCUAGGGUUCAGCAUCUAAGCAGGGUGGUAGAAGCCUCAUCCCUGCGUACAGAUCCCAGAGGACUCAAGGCUAUGUCAAAGGUGCAGAAGAAUCGAGUUGGAAAGACCAGCAGGAGACAGUCAGAGUAAGGUUCCUUGAAUGCUUGGUUUAUGUGCCUGGCUGGA